GGGAAGCCAUGGCGGACCAUAGCAACAAAAGCUGUACAAUCCAGAGACAAUCAUGUUCAGACCUCUUUACUGCAGGAUCAACCUGAGUGUCCCAGUCCUGAAACGUUUCUUCAACCAGGAGGACACCAGGCCAGAUUUUCGGUUGAGCAGGGAGUCUUUGGCAGUGCUGCUUUAUCUUUUGCACCAGGAUAGGCAACAUGGAUGGGGUGCUACUAUUGAGACCUUGGUUUUUCUUUUCUUGGUGGCAAGUGGCACAUCCUACAGAGUGGUCUGCAGAGUGUUUGAGAUGCCUCGCUCUA